rnacentral:pre_miRNA from 1 species
CAUGGAAAUGCUGGGUCAUAUGGUGGGUGUAAAUUUUAUUUUAGAAGAAACUGCCAAACUGUUUUCCAAAGUGGCUGUACCAUAUUGCAGUCCUAUCAGCAGU